rnacentral:snRNA from 1 species
GAAUGUGAGGGCGAUCUGGCUGUGACAUCCAUCACCCCACUGAUUGCCAGGGUUCAUUUGGCUGAUCUAGUUGGCUAGGCCGGUGUCCCCUUCCUCCCUCACCGCUCUAUGAGCGUCCCUCCCUAAUCUGCACAAGAUAUAUAUAUAUUACUAUACCAUCAACAAUAAAAAUGUAAAGACAGAACACAACCUAAAACCUAUAUUAUUUGCUCUCUUACUUUCUAACAGUUAAUAACUUUCUAAUAACUAAGUUUCUUA